rnacentral:other from 1 species
AAUACCCUGCGGUGCCCGUGAAUGUGCCGUAUAGUUUUGAGCCAACACCAUCACAUAGGGAACCUGGACUCUGGUGGUGGCUUGCAAGCCCGCCAUGACGGGACGCAAAAAGCCAUCAGGAGGGUACCCACCUGCUUUAGAGCAGGUUCAAAACAACGGCCCCACGGCAUGUGUGGGGUUUUA